UACGGAGGGUGCGAGCGUUGUCCGGAAUCAUUGGGCGUAAAGAGCUCGUAGGCGGUUUGUCGCGUCUGCCGUGAAAGUCCGGGGCUCAACUCCGGAUCUGCGGUGGGUACGGGCAGACUAGAGUGGUGUAGGGGAGACUGGAAUUCCUGGUGUAGCGGUGAAAUGCGCAGAUAUCAGGAGGAACACCGAUGGCGAAGGCAGGUCUCUGGGCAUUAACUGACGCUGAGGAGCGAAAGCAUGGGGAGCGAACAGG
rnacentral:rRNA from 1 species